AGCUUGAACCCUGGUACGUUGCUCUCUCUACCAUCUCAAUCUCUUCGUGUCACGCCACCCUGUUUGCCGUCUCCAUCUGCCGCUUGCUGUCAAUAACUUUAUCAUGAUUAAAGUGAUAAAGAGAAAAUUGGGGCUGUUAUGAAAGAUGAGAUUCAGCCUGAUGCGAUUUGGGAGCAGAAAGUGAAAGACGUUGAAGUGGAACGCAAUUGGAGUGAAGUGAAAGAUGAAAUUUAUUUGGAGUUCUUCUCUGCUACAGCUAGUAUGUUAGAAGCCUUGAGUGCUCUGCUAAAAUAAUGCCUGAAGAAUGUCUGAGUCUGGACACUUUAUUUUGCUAGGGGUAUGCCUUUGUUCUUGAAUUGGAAGUACUUCACUUAGUUGGUCAAUUCUUGUUUGCCUCUGGUUUCUUGCCCAUCUGCAAGAAUCCUACUUGAAGUGUGGGUAGUUUAAAAUCUAAUUUACUUUGUUUUUGUUUUGUAACUUGAAAAAGGUCAUGUGAAGUUUUGGAGAAAAGAGUCUUGAUAGAUAGGGAUUUUG